rnacentral:miRNA from 1 species
AUUUCUAGUGAGUGAGGAUGUUAA